AAUCUAAUAAUUUAAUAAAAAUAUUAAAUUGCAAAUUUAAAAAUAGUAAUAUUUAGGUUU
rnacentral:tRNA from 1 species